rnacentral:rRNA from 1 species
UACGUAGGGGGCAAGCGUUGUCCGGAAUCAUUGGGCGUAAAGAGCGCGUAGGCGGCCCAGUAAGUCCGCUCUGAAAGUCAGGGGCUCAACCCCUGAAUGCGGGUGGAUACUGCUGGGCUAGAGUCCGGAAGAGGCGAGUGGAAUUCCUGGUGUAGCGGUGAAAUGCGCAGAUAUCAGGAGGAACACCAAUGGCGAAGGCAGCUCGCUGGGAUGUGACUGACGCUGAGGAGCGAAAGCGUGGGGAGCGAACAGG